UACGGAGGAUCCAAGCGUUAUCCGGAAUCAUUGGGUUUAAAGGGUCCGUAGGCGGUUUGGUAAGUCAGUGGUGAAAGCCCAUCGCUCAACGGUGGAACGGCCAUUGAUACUGCCAGACUUGAAUUAUUAGGAAGUAACUAGAAUAUGUAGUGUAGCGGUGAAAAUGCUUAGAGAUUACAUGGAAUACCAAUUGCGAAGGCAGGUUACUACUAAUGAUUGACGCUGAUGGACGAAAGCGUGGGUAGCGAACAGG
rnacentral:rRNA from 1 species